UUGCUCGGGAGACGAAAGAAUUGUGCAACCGGGUCAUCCCGUAUGUGAAAGUGCAGUGGAGCAAUCACAAGGAACGGGAGGCGACCUCGGAGCCGAAGAUGGUGAUGCGGGAGUCCUAUCCCUACUUGUUCGAGACUCAGGUUUGAAUUAAUUACGUGCAUGGCGGAGAGCACGGGUAGAGGUAGCCGAGGAGCUCGGAUUCGACGCCGACGACGCGUCGCGAAGACGUUCGAGGGUACGGUUGGGAUCGUAGCGCUGCGAGGAAGCUAGGCGAGGGUGUGUUUUCGCCGUUCUCGACGCCGCGUCGAUGUCCGAUUAGCCUUUGAGCGUCGACCGUCGGUAUUUCAGUUCGUACUCGGCGUAGGAGCGUCGGGUUUCGACGGGACUUGGUUAUUUGGAUUCGGGACUUCGAGAGGAAUCCACGAAGCCCUUACUUGCUGGAUUUGGUAAAGAGUUUAGCGGGAGCUUGACUUCGGGCCUUGGGAGGUUUUCGGACGUUUCGGCAGGUUGUUUCGCAGCCGAGGGGAGUUCCGUGCUGCCAGAGAUUAGCGAUCGAGGUGGGUUACAUCGGUUUAUUCCUAAGUAUUAUAGUAGUCGACAUGUAUGAUUUCCUAUUUUUGUAAAUCA